ACCAGGAGAUGCCCAGGCUGCCUUGGCAUUCCUAUUUCAAAACAUUUCUUUAAGGGGUAAUAAUGUUUUUUCUUUCCUCUAGGGGGCUGAAAUAUACACAUGCCUUCUCAGAGACCUUUCUUCAGCUUCAGGAAUAGGCUGGGUUUGGGGAAUACCUGGACUCCUAUAAAGCUGUCACCCUAGAGGACAAUGGCUCUGACAUCCCCAGGCAGGAGAGAUUACAUGUCUUUCAGCACUUGUCACCAGCCUUCAGGACAGGCCCAGUGAACAAGAACAUAAGGGAAGAACAGGUGCUCUAGAGAGAUGAGGAUUUAGCAAAGUCUGAUAACAUAAGUUCACGAAACUUUUUUCCCCCACAAUUGUUAACGCAUUUGAUCCUCACACAAUGCUGUGAAGCCAGCAAAGUAAAGAUGAUCGUUCUCAUUGCAUCUCAUUGUAUAAACAAGGCAAGGAUUCUAUCUGCCCAGGUCACAGACCUGGCACAAACCUAGUGGAACUGGAACCUAGGCACCUCAAGUGCAUCCAGAUAUAUACAAGCUCCCCAAACAGAGGACUGAGCUCCUUGAAUAGUGAGGAGCUCAAGAACAUUCUGGAAAAUAUGAGGCAGAUAUGAUAUCCCCAAACCCAGGCUUAGACGAUAUCUAAGGCCAGCUUUUUCAUUUUAUAGGUAAGGUCUAAUUUGGUUGAAUGAUUGACCCAAAAUUAACCAUUAAAUUCAUGUAAAAGUCAGGUCUCCUAACUCCCAGUCCAGUGCUCUUUUCCACCCACGAAGAUGACAGCUUCUUCCAUUCAGUCUGGUUUAAACAAACAAAAAUCUAGAAAUCAAUGAGAUAGAUUAGGAUCCACUCACCCUGACGAAGCUGGAGGUUCAAAUAAAUGUCAGAUGAAACUGGUAUCUGCAGAUGGAUUAAUUAUAAUUAAAAGACUCUCCCUUGUAAAACAGAAAAGACUGAGAAGAAGUCUGAUAUGAAGAAGCACUGGAUUCAGAAUUCAUAUGUCCUCAUUUGCCUGCUAGCCCUGCCUCUCCCUACAGAAUGGUUCUGGAAGCCUGGCUGAGGAUCAGUUUCUUCAUUUGUGAUAACCACAGCAAACAGUGCUUUACUUCAAUGGGCUUGUAAGAGAAAGUAUUUAAAUUAAUAGUUGGGAAAGUUCAUUGCAAAUGCUGAAAAGGUAUUUUCAUUCUUACUGCUACGAUUUUGCUUUCCUGAAUUCCUGGGCUAACUGCCCUUCCUUUUCUCCUGAUUUUUGUUUUUGUGUAUGUGGCCCAGGCUAGCUGUCCAGUGUGAUGAUAAAAGGCCAUGGCAUAAUAACUCCCAGAUUACAACUUAAAAUUGUUCUUUUCCACCCAUAUGCCUCAAACAAGAGAGUGAAUGUAUACAAGUAGCCCAGAAUGUGGAACAAAGUUACCUCUGAGAUAUUGAAAAACAAUGCCUAAUAAAUAAGCUGAGCAGCUGGAAUCUGUCCCCUGUGGACAGAUACUUCAAGAUAAAGAUAAUGGCAGGAGCAAGGAGGGGCGGAUUCCAGCCCCGGUAAAAGAUAAGGAGACCACAUGUUUCUCAUUCUUGAAGUCAAGGAGACCUCCCAAAUUACACAUGUGCAGAAAGGUUCCUCAGGGGUCAGGGAAUGGAGGGGGCACCAGACCAUAAUAGGUUCUGUCAACUUCUCAGAAACCCUUGCACUAGAAUCCAUCUUGGCUAAAAGAUGCACUUGCACCCAGGGGAGGGCCCUGAGUCAAGCCAAAUAUGGACUCAAAGCCAGACAAAGAAAGACGACUGGCCAUAAAGGAAUUCAGGAGACUGCCACCAUACAGGUGAUUUAAACUACCCUAAAAGCAUACAGCUCUUUCUCUGAGCCCACCCAUGUGUCUAUCUGCAUGGACUUUUUCUAAUAAACACUUUACUUGUUUUGCUACUUUAUGUCUCUUUGCUGAACUCUUGCCUCCAAGCAGACAAAGAGCCAGAGCCCUUCUCCUAUCCAUUGACUCUUGUGGUCUAGUGGUUAGGAUUCAGUGUUCUCACCACCACAAACUGGGUUCUAUCUCCGGUCAGGGAACUGAGAUCCUGCUUCAAACGGCUGCACUCACAGCCAUCUGAGACCAUUAGUAGAGCUAAAACUGAAGAAGCAAGGAAAAUGGAGAACUCCCGAAUCAAGAGUUUGUCAAGGCGUCUCCAGCCCUGUCCAGGGUAGAGGAUUCUUAAACACCUGAGCUCCAGGAGUGGAGACAAAUCCAUAAGGGUCUCAGAAGCUAAGGACACUAGUUCUUUAGAUCCAGAAAACUCACUGGCAUUGAGGCCUUGCUCACCAAUUAAAAAACAAAACAAAACAAAACAAAAAACAUUACACUAUACUCAAUUUUGCUUUAAGUGAAUAAACCAGCAAUGGCUAUACAUUAGCUUUGCGUGAGCUUGGAUCACAAAUGGUUAGUCCUCCUGACCUUAGUUGUUCUGGGAAGAGAUAGGAGAGGAACAGAUAGGAGACCUCACCUGUUUCCCAGGGGCUUGUGGUAAGGAUGCUAUGAACAGUAAGUUACAGACCCAAGACCACCAGAAGAUAAGGCGUGUAACUUGCUACCUGUAGCAUCCUCAUCACAGCCACCAGUAAGCAGGACUAGAUUAUACAUGACAGAAGGCAGCCUGGGUGGUAGGAGUAACUCCCUUUUCUCUGUGCUUAAAAUCAGUGAGACCUUAACCAGAAAGUAUCCUAACUUGAUUUUCCUUUCAAAAAUAUUUUUUAAAAAAAAGUAGGCAAAGAUAUGCAGACAACACUAACCAUUUUUUAAAAUUAGAUUAUGCUCUAUGUAAGGUACAAGUUAAACCCAAUUCUCCCUUCUCUCUGAGGCAUUUCUGAAAAUGCCUAAGAAAUAGUGAGGGAAGUGCAAAAAAAGCAGAGACUUAAUGAUAUUUUAUACACUCUAUUGCUAAAUUCAAAACAUGAACAAGUAUAUUGAAAGAAAAAACAUUUCAAUUAGGGUAGUUGGAAUUAAAGGAAUUAUAUUACCUUUUAAUUAACCAGAAAACUCCAUUAACCAAAGUCACUUAUUCACCAUGCUUUUCAGUUGGUGAACAUUUUGGUAAAAUGUAAUAAUAUAAUUAUACAUCAGAG
rnacentral:lncRNA from 1 species